rnacentral:rRNA from 1 species
UUGGGUAGGGGAGCGUUCUGUAAGCCUGCGAAGGUGUGCUGUGAGGCAUGCUGGAGGUAUCAGAAGUGCGAAUGCUGACAUAAGUAACGAUAAAGCGGGUGAAAAGCCCGCUCGCCGGAAGACCAAGGGUUCCUGUCCAACGUUAAUCGGGGCAGGGUGAGUCGACCCCUAAGGCGAGGCCGAAAGGCGUAGUCGAUGGGAAACAGGUUAAUAUUCCUGUACUUGGUGUUACUGCGAAGGGGGGACGGAGAAGGCUAUGUUGGCCGGGCGACGGUUGUCCCGGUUUAAGCGUGUAGGCUGGUUUUCCAGGCAAAUCCGGAAAAUCAAGGCUGAGGCGUGAUGACGAGGCACUACGGUGCUGAAGCAACAAAUGCCCUGCUUCCAGGAAAAGCCUCUAAGCAUCAGGUAACAUCAAAUCGUACCCCAAACCGACACAGGUGGUCAGGUAGAGAAUACCAAGGCGCUUGAGAGAACUCGGGUGAAGGAACUAGGCAAAAUGGUGCCGUAACU